ensembl:lncRNA
AUGCUUUCUCCGGCUGGGAAACGCAGCUUGCUGGGGCACGUGCACCACGCAUCAAUACACAUUCGUCAGCAAGUGAUGUGGACAGUUAUCACAGGACAGAUGUCACAACUAGAGCCUGUUAUAGCCCUUCAAGUUAUCACAGACCCGUGGCCGGAACUUCAAGCCUGCCUUCAUCAGCAAGACUGUCCACUGAGGUGGCUUCCAAAUCAACCUUGCAAAUUGUGUGUGGAACCUGUGUGUGUGAAGGUACCAUGACGUUCACCACUUCAAGAUGAGUAUUAUUCUGACAUAUCCUUUAUUAUCUACACCGUGGCUUCCUCCUGGACUUUGGCAGAUAAUUGCCUAUGUGGCUAAUUUAUGAUCAUUCUUCAAGACCCUGUGGAAAGGCCUGUGGAUACAGCUCAGUGGGAGGACUCUUUUCUAGCAUUCAUGAGGCCCUAGGUUCAAUUGCUGGCACCAUAAAAAUAGAAUACUAUGGGGACAUGUCCCUGGUCCUAGCUCCUCUGCAAUGAUUCCAUUCUUUGUAAACAUAAGCGCAUGCAUGUGUGUGUGCGUGUGUGUGUGUGUGUGUGUGUGUGUUGCAUUUAUCUAAUUUAUAUAUUAUAACUCAGUGUUUGACUCCACUGAAAUGGUUUUCCCUCCUUUGUGCCUUCCCAGUAGGCUGGGAGACUCUUGAGGACGAUGUAUGGUAUUUGUCCCAGGGUUAUCAAAGCUUUCAAAAAUGCUUCUCUGACGAGUGUUGAUGAUGGAAGCUGUGAACUCAGAGAAGUGCCCUCAGUAGGGUUAGGGGAGAACUCUGGUUCUUGCACACCUCAGACACUGUCACACAAUGUCCUUUAUCCAGAUCCCUGUUGUUUAGCACCAUGAAGAGAAGAGACAACUAUUGGCCAGGUUUGCAGAUAAGGGAAGGCUCUCCCUGUGGGGCCAUCCUCAUCAAAGGCUCUUCCAUAUCAUGCCUGGUUACAGCAAAGCAGCAGGCUGAUGCCUGGGUGCUGUCAGACAGAUGAAACCAAGCACCCAGUGUCACCUUACACGGAGACAUGCUGUGUGCAUGCUAACCCAUCCCUUUGGUAUUGUUUACUCAUGAACUUGGCCACAGGGUGCCAGUAGGGACACCAGAGCCCCCAUCACUCACCAGCUAAAUCAGCCCACACCCUGUUCUAAGGGCAUCUGAGGUUCUGCAGGACUCAACAGCUUUGGGCUUCAGGGCAGCAAUGACUCAGUCACACAAGGCUCAUCACUCACCGAUCCCAAGAGAAAGACUGGUUCCCUGAAGAAAACAGAAAAGAAAGAGAAAAAAAAAACUUGAACUCCAAGACACAGAUGGGCAAAUGCCACAGGAGCUGAAAUAUAUGGCUGAAGAGGGGCCAUUAGACAGAGUUCCUCUUCCAAUUUUGUGAAAUAUUGUGAUUGCAUCUUGGGGGCAGGUACUAACAAGCCUGAAGGACCAUUCUGCACCCUAUAUCUUCUCUGGUUUCCUGGUAACACACUCUAGUGACUAUUGGCAGCGUUCCCUCUCCCACACUGAAUCUCCUUCCUUUUUAAACUAGCCCUCCAAGAAAAGGAAUAUUACCUAAGAUUGGACCAGUUUUCAUGUCUUGGUUUUGGUAAUUCAAAAAAAAAUUGCAAUAAAUCUUUCUAUUAUUUAAGGGAUCCCA